rnacentral:rRNA from 1 species
UACGAAGGGUGCAAACGUUGCUCGGAAUCAUUGGGCGUAAAGCGCACGUAGGCGGCCCAGCAAGUUGGAUGUGAAAUCCCUCGGCUCAACCGAGGACGUGCAUCCAAAACUGCUGGGCUUGAGUACUGAAGAGGAUCGCGGAAUUCCCGGUGUAGAGGUGAAAUUCGUAGAUAUCGGGAGGAACACCAGUGGCGAAGGCGGCGAUCUGGGUCGAUACUGACGCUGAGGUGCGAAAGCGUGGGGAGCAAACAGG